GACGAACGCUGGCGGCGUGCUUAACACAUGCAAGUCGAACGAAGUGGCGAACGGGUGAGUAACGCGUAAUCAACCUGCCCUUCAAGGGGGGACAACAGUGGGAAACGCCUGCUAUUACCGCAUACGGAAGAGGGGAAUUGCGUCGUAUUGGCUGGUUGGAGGGGUACGGGCCAACCAAGGCGAUGAUCAGUGGCCGGUCUGAGAGGAUGAACGGCCACAUUGGGACUGAGACACGGCCCAGACUCCUACGGGAGGCAGCAGUGGGGAAUCUUCCGCAAUGGACGAAAGUCUGACGGAGCAACGCCGCGUGAGUGAUGACGGCCUUCGGGUUGUAAAGCUCUGUUAAUCGGGACGCGGUACCGGAAUAGAAAGCCACGGCUAACUACGUGCCAGCAGCCGCGGUAAUAC
rnacentral:rRNA from 1 species